AAUCCGUUUGAUCCUGACGGACCUGACUGCUAUCAGAUUGAUAUUAAGCCAUGUUAGUCAUUGUAGUAAUACAAGGCGGACAGCUCAGUAACACGUAGUCAACCUAACUUAUGGACGGAAAUAACCUCGGGAAACUGAGGAUAAUGUCCGAUAGAUCAUUAUGCCUGGAACGGUUUAUGGUCGAAACGAAUAUCGCCGUAGGAUGGGACUGCGAGCUAUCAGCUUGUUGGUGAGGUAAUGGCCCACCAAGGCAAUUACAGCUACGGGCUCUGAGAGGAGUAGCCCGGAGAUGGGUACUGAGACAAGGACCCAGGCCCUAUGGGGCGCAGCAGGCGAGAAAACUUUGCAAUGU
rnacentral:rRNA from 1 species